UGGACGAAUGUUCUGUUUAUCACAUCUUUACGGGCCAAUCAGAGCAACAAACCACGUGACGUCAUAGCCCCAUACCAAGGUGUGCCGCUAACGAGGAAUGAACUCCAUAGAGGGCUGCAUAAGGCGAACCAUGGCGACUGUAGUCAUCUGGCCCUUGGAGAGAGACGGCCAAGUUUAUUUUCUCCGCGGUGGUCCCUUUGAGGUGGCGGCGAGGCCCCUGCCACACCGCUGCUGAUGUAUUAGAAUGGCUAAAGAGCCCAAGACAAAUUUCUCAGGCGUUAAAGGACCUUGCCCAUAGACCCACACUGGAUGCUCACUGUGCUCUGGGACCUGAACUCCCAAUCUCCUGUAGGAAAAAUGGUGGUGUAAACUACGCUAUCCAACCACACACCUGCACAUCUGUACAGUUUCUCCUUUUGUGAUGUUAUAUUGUAUUUUAUAAUUUUAUUUUUCUAUUAUAUUUUUUCUAUAACAGUAGUCUGGUCCCCUGAUAUUUUGAUUAGCCUUUUUUAAUUUCUAUUCUUCCUCCACGUUAUUUGUUUUUCCACCAAACACCAAGUCAAAUACCUUGUAUGUGAAUAUGUAUUUGGCAGUAAAACCUGAUUCUGAAAUCCUUUAUGGAAGAUUUGUCUUGCUUUCUACGUGUUUAAAUUGUGUCAUUGUCAAACAUUGACUUGUGAGCCACAGUGAAUAAGGAAGGGGCGUUGCAUGUCACCCACAGGCCACCAAUUGCCCAUCCCUAUAGACUAAGUACUUUUUCUUACCAAAAGACCUUUAAAAAAAUGUAUUUAGUGCUUUCUAAUUUCUUUGUGCAUGCAUGCACUAAACUUCAAGGUCUAAUCAAACACUGUCGACUGGAGUGAUUGAUUCCAAUUCUAACUACUGUAAAUUAGACUACUCUUAGGUCACUGUAUGGUCAAACUAGUUAUCUCGGUUGUUAAGCUGUUCUUUUAUUGACUCAGGCAGCCUAAAGCUGAUGUCCUCAAAGAAGCUGGUCUGUGUCCAAAUUUGGCCUGAGUCAUUGCAAGUCAUUACUCACUCUACCCCCCCAGUUUCUGUCUCUAUCCUAUCUAUGGUAAAAAAUGGGAAAAAAGUCCCAAAAUAAAUCAUAAAAUAUGUAACCAAUAGCUAGCAGUAAUAUCAAUAUGUUGGUGCAGGGCCUCAGUAGAUUGGAUGUCAAAGUUAGAUAAGAACAUGUAAAAGAAAAAAAGCUCCUAUAUAAAUAUGCAAUAUCUUACCUUUAUAAAAUAGUUUUUAGUGUAUUUUGUGAUUUAUGAGGUCAUGACACCGUUGAGCAGGAAAGGAAAGAUGAAAAUGCAGUCAUGCAUUGCUUACUAACUGGUAAAGGCAUGGUCACUUUCUGCUGAGAAGGUAGAAAAUAUUACAGAUGCAGAGAUAGAAGAGAUUUCCCUGUACAGGGAAAGGGUGAUUUACUAUGUGAACACUUCUGUAGCAGCAUCCCUCUUUCCUUUCAACCCAAUAAACCACGAUAACAGAGAGAGAGAGACGGAGAGAAAGAGAGAGGCGGUGUGUCAGAGCGCAUAAAUAACUGUCUCCAUAAUGUAAACACAGCGGUCAUAACCCGAGAGAAUUAAAACAACGGUUCUGGGCGGGAUUACAGCUCAGCUAGCUGACUUUAUACAACCUUUAAAAAAUGUCUAAAAUGAUCUCUGACCCAAGCAACCCGCUUCGAUACUCACUCCUGAUUGGAUGAGUCCUUAACGGUUAAACCAAUCGGUGCUCGGCGAGGUGCGUCAUGUUUAACUGGCUAAAAUGUUACCUCGUUGACCAAAAUCAACUUUUGCUGUCAAAAAGUCGAAAGGAAGCUGUCGCUGAAGAAUAAUUAUUGCUAACUCAAUAUUUUUUUAAGUGUGUGAAUAUGUAGCCCAAUUCAAUAUUAUUAGAACGAUUUAUCUAGGCUAGUCAAAAUAGCACGAAACACACUAAAACUUGUUUUUAAGCCUACCUUAGAUAAACGGAGACUGACUUGUUUGAACUAAGAGCGCUUUAAGUGCUUUCAGAGUCCAAAAUAAUGCUUGAAGGUUUGUUUAUGUAAUGACAACCUCGUCCACUGUUAUCUUCUAGAAACAACAGAGAGACACU